AACCAGAGCCAGUAUGAACACAUUGGGUUGAAACAUUUUAAUGAGACUAAUAUUUAACAGUCCCAAAUUGUUGCAAAACAUUAUAUUUAUAUAUUAAUUUGUAGAAAUAAUGAGCUCUGUAUUUACUUAACUUUUAAUGAACCCAUAUUACAAACAACUUUUGUGAAGAAAGGAAAAUCAAUGCGGCAGUGAAAUAAAAAAAAAAGAGUUUAGGUUCCAUAUAACAAAAAAACAUAAUUAAGUAAAUAUCAUUUCACUGUUUUUUGGGCUGUUGACAAUUUGAUAAUCCUUUUCUACUUUUCAUCCACGUUCUCCUUCUCUCUCUCCUAUCUACUUAAAAUCUCCAGAAACAUUUUCAAUUUCUAGUGACUUCAUCUGCACAGUUUUCAACCGUAAACAAGAUUAAUCCACUGUUGCCCCUUGUCCCCUCUGCUCGUUAUUGUCAUUGUCUCCUACACCUUCUUGAAAACCGCAGAUGAAAAC
rnacentral:lncRNA from 1 species